UUAAAAGAUAAGCCAUGCAUGUCUAAGUAUAAGCAAUUAUACCGUGAAACUGCGAAUGGCUCAUUAAAUCAGUUAUCGUUUAUUUGAUAGUACCUUACUACUUGGAUAACCGUGGUAAUUCUAGAGCUAAUACAUGCUAAAAACCCCGACUUCGGGAGGGGUGUAUUUAUUAGAUAAAAAACCAAUGCCCUUCGGGGCUCUUUGGUGAUUCAUGAUAACUUAACGGAUCGCAUGGCCUUGCGCCGGCGACGGUUCAUUCAAAUUUCUGCCCUAUCAACUUUCGAUGGUAAGGUAUUGGCUUACCAUGGUUUCAACGGGUAACGGGGAAUUAGGGUUCGAUUCCGGAGAGGGAGCCUGAGAAACGGCUACCACAUCCAAGGAAGGCAGCAGGCGCGCAAAUUACCCAAUCCCGACACGGGGAGGUAGUGACAAUAAAUACUGAUACAGGGCUCUUUUGGGUCUUGUAAUCGGAAUGAGUACAAUUUAAACCCCUUAACGAGGAACAAUUGGAGGGCAAGUCUGGUGCCAGCAGCCGCGGUAAUUCCAGCUCCAAUAGCGUAUAUUAAAGUUGUUGCAGUUAAAAAGCUCGUAGUUGAACCUUGGGCCUGGCUGGCCGGUCCGCCUCACCGCGUGCACUGGUCCGGCCGGGCCUUUCCUUCUGGAGAGCCUCAUGCCCUUUACUGGGUGUGUAGGGGAACCAGGACUUUUACUUUGAAAAAUUAGAGUGUUCAAAGCAGGCCUUUGCUCGAAUACGUUAGCAUGGAAUAAUAGAAUAGGACGUGCGGUCCUAUUUUGUUGGUUUCUAGGACCGCCGUAAUGAUUAAUAGGGAUAGUCGGGGGCAUCAGUAUUCAAUUGUCAGAGGUGAAAUUCUUGGAUUUAUUGAAGACUAACUACUGCGAAAGCAUUUGCCAAGGAUGUUUUCAUUAAUCAGUGAACGAAAGUUAGGGGAUCGAAGACGAUCAGAUACCGUCGUAGUCUUAACCGUAAACUAUGCCGACUAGGGAUCGGGCGAUGUUUCUAUCUUGACUCGCUCGGCACCUUACGAGAAAUCAAAGUUUUUGGGUUCUGGGGGGAGUAUGGUCGCAAGGCUGAAAUUUAAG
rnacentral:rRNA from 1 species